UACGGAGGAUGCAAGCGUUAUCCGGAAUCAUUGGGCGUAAAGCGUCCGCAGGUGGCAGUUCAAGUCUGCUGUCAAAGACUGGGGCUUAACCCUAGAAAGGCAGUGGAAACUGAACAGCUAGAGUGCGGUAGGGGUAGAGGGAAUUCCAGGUGUAGCGGUGAAAUGCGUAGAUAUCUGGAGGAACACCGGUGGCGAAGGCGGCAUCCUGGACCGGCAUUGACGCUGAGGCGCGAAAGCCAGGGGAGCAAACGGG
rnacentral:rRNA from 1 species